UUUUCUCCACCAGGGCCCUGCGGAAGAGGAGCUAUGCUUUGCGAUGCUGAGUGCUGCUGCUGCUCCAUCUGUUUCUGUACAAGUAUAACCAUGACGUGCAGGUCAGGGAGUUGAUCUAACAAAAUUCAGAAUUCAGAGUUGCUGAUACAAAAGGAGACAGCUUCACUGCCGGUGGCAAAAUGUCAUGGUUUGUCAUGCUUGGUAAUGCUCACGUCGUGGUGGAUCUGGAAGCAGCAGAACACUGCUGGUGUCGAGGUUCUAACCGACCUACUUGCAGGCUUGUUACUGUUAAUGCAUCGAGAUGUAAAGCUUUUGCAUUUUCUGUUUAUGAUAAUUCCUCCCUUCCUCUCUUUUUUGAUCUCUGAUCAGGCUUCGAUUCCUGCUUAUGGGUGGAUGGAGCUGAUAGGCCCACUGAAAUUAGGCCCAUAAGACCCUUCAUCUGGGCUGUAGCCUAUGUAAAAUCGAAUUGUGCUCUGUGACCUACGUAUUUGUUCUGAAAAAGUGAUUCUCAAAAA